rnacentral:tRNA from 1 species
UUAACUCCCACCCCUGGCUCCCAAAGCCAGAAUUCUAAAUUAAACUAUCUUCUGA